CAAGUCUUGACAUCCCUCUGAAUCCUCUAGAGAUAGAGGCGGCCUUCGGGACAGAGGUGACAGGUGGUGCAUGGUUGUCGUCAGCUCGUGUCGUGAGAUGUUGGGUUAAGUCCCGCAACGAGCGCAACCCUUGAUUUUAGUUGCCAGCACUUUGGGUGGGCACUCUAGAAUGACUGCCGGUGACAAACCGGAGGAAGGCGGGGAUGACGUCAAAUCAUCAUGCCCCUUAUGACUUGGGCUACACACGUACUACAAUGGCUGGUACAACGGGAAGCGAAGCCGCGAGGUGGAGCCAAUCCUAUAAAAGCCAGUCUCAGCUCGGAUUGCAGGCUGCAACUCGCCUGCAUGAAGUCGGAAUUGCUAGUAAUCGCGGAUCAGCAUGCCGCGGUGAAUACGUUCCC
rnacentral:rRNA from 1 species